rnacentral:antisense_RNA from 1 species
CUCCGAAACAACAGAAAGCACUUGACAGGCUUGCUCUCCAAUGAGAAGCCCCGGAAAAGUGUUGCGCGGAGGCGGAGCUACGCGGUACAGCCAUCUCUGCGCCUGCUCAAAGGCCCUGGACACUUGGAGUCUAGAUGGGGAAACUGACAUGAAGAGGAGUCCAAAGUGACACAGUCAGCCCAGAAAUGUUGCUUCUCAAGUCCUGAGUCCACCUCCUAGCACUGCCAAGCAGUCCACCUGGAGGGGAUGAGAACUUCCAGGCUUUGGUAAUGGACAACUCUGUAUCCCUGGAGCCUUCAUUCCUUUUGGCAUUACAGAACCACAAGAAGUCACCUAGAAUCAUUGAGAUUCUCAACUCCAUUGGGCAAACUGGAACCAGCAAAAUCUCAGAUAUCUAGAAUUGCCACUGCUUCCUUGAUUCUGUGAUCAGUCUAUAGCCACAGAAUCCUGAUUCCCUUUGGACAUUCUAGAAUGGCACUUAAAAAAAAAAAAACAACAACCCACCCCGUG